rnacentral:lncRNA from 1 species
UCUGAAGCAACAAAACAAGGGUGAGUACAAAAGUACUCAACAAGUCCAACCCCAACCAUGGAGGGGGAAAACAAUCAAGAAUAUGCACAGGAUAUAACAAGGAUAUGGAUAAGGUUUAUUUGCAUUAAAGCUAGAUUUUCAACACAUGCAAGGGUUCAUUUUCAAAGAGUUUUUACAAACAUUUCUUUUUGCAUCCGAAUCAUUAAGUGGGGUUGAUCCUACACAAAGGAUCCAAGUUUUAAUGCUACCGGACUCCCCGUCCGCAGUAGCUCACGGCACAACUGUCGGACACUUCCGAAAUUUAACACACGCCAUGAAAAUCAUCCAACUUCAAGUACUAGUUAUAUGACCAAGCCGUAACUCGUCCAAUGCCAUGGACACGGUUACCCGGAUAGGUUUUAACUCUGCAGAGGUUGUACACUUUUCCCACAAGUAGGGUACCGCAACACGGUCACCUUAGUGUCGGUGCAAAUCCUAUCAAAGCCAUUAUCCACCUUAGCUGAGACUGACUAGUCAACACGGAAGCAACCAAGGGGUUAACGACCCACCAACGAGGUCUUAACAGGGACCUAAGUCACAAAGACCUUACUCCUUCUCCAUGGUCUCCCAUUGCUCACCAGCCUACUUGAUGACUAACAAGCUAGCUAGUGGGAUUUAUGCUAAGCUGUUGCCGUAUACAACGGUCGAGUAGUUGCACGAUGGUUGGGUUAGGUAAGAUGACACAUCAACUCGGUCCUUAACCAUGACAAGAUGGAUAUCCC